AGCAGCCGCGGUAAUUCCAGCUCCAAUAGCGUAUAUUAAAGUUGUUGCAGUUAAAAAGCUCGUAGUUGAAUUUCGGGAUCAAUACGUCGGUCGUACCUCGGUACGUACUAACGUUAUUGAUUUCUCCCUUCUGACGAACCGUGAUGUCAUUAAUUUGGUGUUACGGGGAGUUAGGACUGUUACUUUGAAAAAAUUAGAGUGUUUAAAGCAAGCAAUCGCUCGAAUACAUUAGCAUGGAAUAAUGAAAUAGGACGUUCGAGCCUAUUUUGUUGGUUUUUAGGAUCGACGUAAUGAUUAAUAGGGAUAGUUGGGGGCAUUAGUAUUCAAUUGUCAGAGGUGAAAUUCUUGGAUUUAUUGAAGACUAACUACUGCGAAAGCAUUUGCCAAGGAUGUUUUCAUUAAUCAAGAACGAAAGUUAGGGAUCGAAGACGAUCAGAUACCGUCGUAGUCUUAACCAUAAACUAUGCCGACUAGGGAUCGGAUGAUGUUAAUUUUUAUGUACUCAUUCGCGCCUUACGGG
rnacentral:rRNA from 1 species